rnacentral:rRNA from 1 species
GACGAACGCUGGCGGCGUGCUUAACACAUGCAAGUCGAACGGAAAGUCCCUGCUUUUGUUUGGUUCUCGAUUGGCUAACUUGUGAUUAACACUUGUGUAACCUUCCCUUGACUUUGUUAUAACUUCAUGAAACUUUGUCUAAUACCUUAUCGGUUCUCCUGCUGCAUGGUGGUGUUUGGUACGUUUCGGCGUUUGGGGAUGGACUCGCGGCUUAUCAGCUUGUUGGUGGGGUAGUGGCUUACCAAGGCUUUGACGGGUAGCCGGACUGAGAGGGUUCACGGCGACAUUGGGACUGAGAUACGGCCCAGACUCCUACGGGAGGAAGCAGUGGGGAAUAUUGCAAAAUGGGCGGAAGCCUGAUGAAGAAACGCCGCGUGCGGGAUGACGGCCUUCGGGUUGUAAACCGCUUUCGCAUGUGACGAAGCGUGAGUGACGGUAAUGGGUAAAGAAGCACCGGCUAACUACGUG